rnacentral:rRNA from 1 species
AUUCGCCCUUCAGGCCUAACACAUGCAAGUCGAGCGAUGAAGCCCUUCGGGGCUGAUUAGCGGCGGACGGGUGAGUAACACGUGGGUAACCUGCCUCAAAGAGGGGGAUAGCCUCCCGAAAGGGAGAUUAAUACCGCAUAAAGCAGUGCUUUCGCAUGAGAGUGUUGAUAAAGGAGCAAUCCGCUUUGAGAUGGGCCCGCGGCGCAUUAGCUAGUUGGUGAGGUAACGGCUCACCAAGGCGACGAUGCGUAGCCGACCUGAGAGGGUGAUCGGCCACAUUGGAACUGAGACACGGUCCAGACUCCUACGGGAGGCAGCAGUGGGGAAUAUUGCACAAUGGGCGAAAGCCUGAUGCAGCAACGCCGCGUGAGUGAUGAAGGUCUUCGGAUUGUAAAGCUCUGUCUUUGGGGACGAUAAUGACGGUACCCAAGGAGGAAGCCACGGCUAACUACGUGCCAGCAGCCGCGGUAAU